GGAUGAACGCUGGCGGCGUGCCUAAUACAUGCAAGUCGAGCGAACGGACGAGAAGCUUGCUUCUCUGAUGUUAGCGGCGGACGGGUGAGUAACACGUGGAUAACCUACCUAUAAGACUGGGAUAACUUCGGGAAACCGGAGCUAAUACCGGAUAAUAUUUUGAACCGCAUGGUUCAAAAGUGAAAGACGGUCUUGCUGUCACUUAUAGAUGGAUCCGCGCUGCAUUAGCUAGUUGGUAAGGUAACGGCUUACCAAGGCAACGAUGCAUAGCCGACCUGAGAGGGUGAUCGGCCACACUGGAACUGAGACACGGUCCAGACUCCUACGGGA
rnacentral:rRNA from 1 species